rnacentral:rRNA from 1 species
UACGUAGGCAGCGAGCGUUGUUCGGAGUUACUGGGCGUAAAGAGUGCGUAGGCGGUUUUCUAAGUUUGGUGUGAAAUCUCCCGGCUCAACUGGGAGGGUGCGCCGAAGACUGGAAGACUAGAGUGUGGGAGAGGUAAGCGGAAUUCCUGGUGUAGCGGUGAAAUGCGUAGAUAUCAGGAGGAACACCUGCGGUGUAGACGGCUUACUGGACCACCACUGACGCUGAGGAGCGAAAGCUAGGGGAGCAAACGGG